GACAAUCUCGACCACCAACAGCACGAACCAGCAGUUCAGGAUCCUUGGGAUCAGAGUCUACAAAUUUGGCUGCCCUCUCUCUAGAUUCUCUUGUUGCUCCAGAUACACCAAUACAGUUUGAUAUAAUUUCUCCUGUGUGUGAAGAUCAGCCUGGCCAGGCAAAAGCCUUUGGUCAAGGAGGCAGGCGUACAAAUCCAUUUGGAGAAUCUGGAGGAAGCACAAAAUCAGAAACUGAAGGUAGAACAGACUGCAAUGUUCAUCCUAGAGUGAUCAGUAACUCUAUUCUUCAUCAGUUGUUUAUUGUCCGAUUCCUUGGUUCUAUGGAGGUAAAGUCAGAUGACCAUCCAGAUGUUGUCUAUGAAACAAUGCGUCAGAUCUUAGCUGCUCGGGCCAUCCACAACAUCUUCCGUAUGACAGAAUCACAUUUAUUAGUCACUUGUGACUGUCUGAAGUUAAUUGAUCCACAGACCCAAGUUACAAGGCUCACAUUUCCAUUACCAUAUGUAGUUCUGUAUGCUACGCACCAGGAAAAUAAACGGCUUUUUGGAUUUGUUCUCCGGACCUCAGGCGGAAGAAGUGAGAGUAAUCUGUCAUCAGUCUGCUAUAUAUUUGAGUCCAACAAUGAGGGGGAAAAGAUUUGUGAUUCUGUUGGAUUGGCAAAACAGAUAGCUUUGCAUGCUGAACUGG
rnacentral:lncRNA from 1 species